GUGCACAUGCUCCAGCUUGUCAUGAAUGGUGUUUAGUGUGUAAACCGGGCUGUAAACCGCACUUCUGUGCAGGUCCUGCGUUAGUUUGCACAAAUGUCGGGGCUACUAGAGGGCAACUUGAAUACAUGCUGGGGGUUUCUGAGCUGGUGUUGUCCUUGACGUUGCCUCGAUGAAAGCAUUGUCCUCACACAGGUGCCAGUGCCAUGCUCUGCUGGGAAAACUCUGGUGCUGAUGCCACUGAUGCUGAUGCCACCCUCACAUGCACCACCCACACGAAGAAUUUCACGGUGCUGACCUUGUCCACAAAUUCCACAGAUCUUGUUCCUAUCAAGCAUUCAUGAGACGUGUGGAAACAGGUCCGAUCAAUGAAGGCCUUCCCUCACAACCCAGGAAAGGACACCCUCAGAGGUCGUGUGUCCAUGCCUCUCACGCCUGUUUUGGUAGUAUGAAGGGGACCUAUACAUUAUUAGGCAGGUGUUAUUUUUGCUUUUUUAAAUCAUCGUUUUGGCCUUUCAUGGCUUCAAGCUUUAAGGGCAACAGGAAAUGGGAUGAUUUGGGACAUUUUUAGUCAUUUUUGAUUGAAAAUUACCAUAACAGUUAGACGAGUAUCCAAACAGGUGCAGGUUAUUUUGGUCACCGACUAACAUACCAACUUUGACAUCCCUUGAGCCAGGCCAUUAAGGAAAAAGUGAUGCAUUUAGCUAAGAUUGAUGUCAAAAUACCAAACUCAGAGGGACUCUCUGUGGACACACCUGAAGUUCAAUUUGAGUUUUCAUGUUUUAUCAUGCAGAUCCCCGUUUCAACAUCUGUCUGCGACUACACCCACAUCGACUUAGUUUGGACUAUCAUCGCGGCUUUACUGCAUUGCUGGGCUGAUAUUGCACUCUUUUCAGAAGUUGCUGAUGUACAUGUGACACAACAAUCUCCCGCCGGCGUUUUAUAAACCAGACCUGAAAGAAUCUUGCCGAGGGGGGUCGCACAGACAGACGCCAACAUAGGCCGGGCUUGCGGGGGGCCCAGUAGGAGGACAGUGGCGGAGGUCAGACAGAGGGGUCAGACGAUCUAAGCCUGUGCUGGGUCGGGGAUGCCCCUGGGAUAGGUGUUCAGACACAGGCCAUCCCGUGAGAACGAUCACACUGUGCUGCUCCCCUGGGACACACAGCCACGUACAUGUAUAAAGUCUGCCAAGUCAAGCAUCCUUAACUAUGUCUGUCGUUUUACACACACACACACACAUACACACACACACACACACACACACAGACAUUAUGCAAACACACAAAACAUUUGAAUGCAUGAAAAAAAGUCUGCCCCACAAUAUACAAACUAAGUAGAUGCAGUAGUGUGUGUGUGAAGAGAUACACAUGUAUGGAUUUGACAGUAACAUACACAGCCCAGGGGAGGUGGGAACUCGCCAUAAGGAAUCACUUAAUUAUUCUGGUGUGCCGGAGCACCACAUCCAUCACCAUGGCAACUACAGGUGUGACCUUAGAGUAGAGGACAUCGAGCAUGGAAGACAAAAUCCUGCGAUUUCGGUUUGGAAAUGAGAUGAAUAAUAUGCACACAUUUCAAAACACGUUUCAGAUGUUUACUUUUUUAUCCCCGUCUUUGAUUUACUGCCGAUGUGUUUGUGUCUAUAUGCUGCCCGGGCUGCAAGAGGGAUGAGAGUCAGCCAUAAUGACAUGUUUUUGCACUGUGGGCAGGAAGGACACAAUGUUCCUUAGGCAAAAAAGCAGGGUCAGAGCAAAGAAAGACACAAAUCCACUGACGUUUGCCAUUGAUGCCUCAAACUGAAACUGAAAAAUACUCAAAACUCAAGGAUUCAUCGGAAAAAAUAAUUUUGUGUAAAUAAUGAGAAAGACUCACGCACAAAAACACAGGCGUACACCCAGACACACCCUAUGACAAAGGAUUUUUUGUGUGUGGGUGUGUGUUUGUCUCCAAACACACACACAAAAACAAUAUACAGAUUCAGUCUCAGUGUAUGCAGCAUGAAUACAUGUUGAAAUACAAAAGACAGUCAUUUGACUGCAACAACCACACACUCCACCGAAGAUGGAAACAUUUCUAUUCAAAAGACAAACAGUCUGACCGGCCUGUCAUUGUGCAGCUUUAACCUGCCAUGGAAAACACACACAAAAUCCUAUUUAAGCAACAUGAUUCUCAUCAUUCCUGCCAAAAAGCAUUUGUGUCUCUUCGGUAACUACAUCACAACCCCCCUCUCGGUUACCUGCAGUGUCCCCCACGAGCGCAUGCUAUGCCCUGUUGUAAUUUUCAAUUUAUAUGCUCCCCAUUUCAUCGCAAUGUUGCCUGAACAUAAAGCGUUACCUUUUUGUCCAACUCUCUGAUGAGCUUCUCUCCAACACCUGGAGGAUUUUAAGAUGAUGGAUAGUAUUCAUUUAUCAUAUGUAGAAACUGCAAAGUGUUCAG